rnacentral:rRNA from 1 species
GAUGAACGCUAGCGAUAGGCCUAACGCAUGCAAGUCGAGGGGCAUCACAUGAGGCAGCAAUGCCGAUGGUGGCGACCGGCGCACGGGUGAGUAACACGUAUGCAACCUGCCUUCAACAAGGGGAUAACCCGUUGAAAAACGGACUAAUACCCUAUAAUACAGGGGUCCCGCAUGGGGAUAUUUGUUAAAGAUUGAUCGGUUGAAGAUGGGCAUGCGUUCCAUUAGCUGGUUGGUGAGGUAACGGCUCACCAAGGCAACGAUGGAUAGGGGAACUGAGAGGUUUUAUCCCCCACACUGGUACUGAGACACGGACCAGACUCCUACGGGAGGCAGCAGUGAGGAAUAUUGGUCAAUGGACGCAAGUCUGAACCAGCCACGUCGCGUGAAGGAAGACGGCCCUACGGGUUGUAAACUUCUUUUAUACGGGAAUAAAGUGCCCCACGCGUGGGGUUUUGCAUGUACCGUAUGAAUAAGAUCGGCUAACUCCGUGCCAGCAGCCG